UUAUAUGUGAUUAUGAAAGUAAAUUACUUGAUUUAAGAACGGAGGGACAAUGCGUAGAAAUACGUUUAUGCAUGAAUGAACUCUUGCCAAGAUCUCGAAUGCAUCUAUGUUGUAUUAAGCAUCGUGAAUGAAUAGAUGAAGAAGUCAGAGUAGAAGUGGUCAAGUUGGAAUGAGAAAGGUUUCGGGAACGAAACCUCCUUUAAGGGGUUUUCUCUUCGGUAUGUAAUUCUUGAAUUUGAUAUGUGUUCAGGUUUCGGGGCUAGAUAAAUGAUAAAAAGAAUUAACUUAGUUGGUGUAAUGUGUAAAAAUGCUAGAUAAAUGAUAAUAGGUGACUAAGUUAAAUAAAUGAACAAUCAAGAAGGGCCAAAUGUGAAAAUAGUGAAACUCCAAAUAUUAAAAAGAAAAAUAAAAGAAAAGAUACACAGUGUGUGUAUCUGGAGAUCGAUCAGGGCAGGGAGGAACAAAGGGUUUAACCCUAAUUGCUAAUUCAGCCAAAUUAGGAGGAAAUCUCAAAGCUAAUUCAUUGCAUGAACUCAAGUUUCGAUCAUCUAAGCUAAUAUAGCUGAAUGGCGUGAAGGAAGAGGGUUCAAGUACUAAGAAAUCGGAAGGCUCACAGGAUCGAGGUAAAUACUCAAUUUAGGCGACUUGGAGAAUUGGAGCGAGCACAUGUUCAUGAUAUGUCAUACCAAACGCUUCCGCUAGUUGCACUUAUGUUUUGGGUCAAAUUUCCAUUUUGUACAACUUGUUAGUAGUCGUAUAUUUUAAAACUUGUUGCCUUUGUUUUCGGUAGUAUUAUGUCAAACGGAUCAUAAGAUGUUAAUUAGUUUGAUUAUGUUCAAAACAGGGGCAUGCUCGUUUUUGGACGGGUCAUGCCCAAAUUUUGUAAAAAUUAUGCAUCAAGUUGGUACUUUUGAUGUCUUUAAGUUACUCUUGUAAGACAUUCUAUAAU
rnacentral:lncRNA from 1 species